AUGUUGGAAUGGGCUGAUUUCGGAGUCACAGAUGCUGUGAUUCCUAAGCUUUUGAAUAGGAUGUGCAUGGAGGGGCUUUUUGCCCUACCUCUGUCUUUUAGCCACAGUGAAGCCUGUCAUGUUUCUGGGGAAGCUGAGUGUACACUGAAGAAUGUCCCCGUUGAAUGGAGUUAUGUCCAGCACGUGAUGUUUCAUGUAGCCUCUGCACUGCUUAUUUGGUACGGUGACUUAGCCUUUGUGGAUCAAGGGCUGUUACCUCCACAGCAUAAUGCAGUGUACUUGAUCCCUCCUGACGUUUUUAUUCACUGGAGAGAUGAAAGGGGAAUGAUCUACAAUGUUUGGUGCCUGCGAACUCUCCUACAUCCUGACAGACAACAUAAGCAAUCACAUCAGGGAGUGUAGGACUCUUGCUGACCACCUCAACUUCCAAAGGACUCUGGGAACUGCCCGCAGGUGUAUGAGCAUCUCUUCUCAGUAGGAAUCCUCUUUUUCAAAGGUUUCUAAGGGAACUGGAAUUUAUGACCCUUUUGACAACAUCUGGGAAAUUUACUUUCUGAAUCCUAUUUUCUUCAAACCUACUUGAGCUAUUGGCAGGGACAAAGACUGGAAAUAUAAACCAUUACUGCAGUGUGGUGGAAUCUCUCGUUUCCUCUUUUUUCCUUCAUGCAGCUCAUUGCUGUGCCAGGAUGAAUGGCUCAUGGUUACAGCACUAGAGUGGAAUGCAGAUGAUGCGAGUUUAAAUCUCUCACUAUGUCAAAGGCUUCUCUAUGACAGCGUUUCACAGUUCUGUGAUUCCUGCCUGUAUUUAAAAAUAUGACCUUCUCUCACAUUUUUGUCUGUUUAAACAAUCAUAAUGCAGCCUCUCUGGAUAUUUGAAACCCUUUCGCUUUGUUUGCUUGAACAAAGUAUUUCCUGUUUGUGUUGAAGUGAUACAGGUUAACACUUUGAACAAGAAAAGAAGAUAAGCGUUUGGUGUACUAAUUUCAGGAGCAACUGUUUUCAGUAGCCUGGAACCCUUCCGCAGUAUAUUGAUGUUUCAAUUUGCACAGAGCAGCAGCUGCCCUUAAUGAUAAAGAAAAGAGACUGCUCUGCUCUGCUCUGUGAUGAUUUGACAUGGCAGCAGUAGACUUGCAGAAUGUGACAUGACAACUUGAAAUAAUGAUAUGUAGACACGGUGCCACAGACAUGUCAUGAAAUAACAUAAAUUUCUGAAAAUGAUAGGAGGAGAAAACAUCUUCAGAGCAAAAAUAUUGAGACAAAAAGUUGUCACUUAACACAUUUGAGGUUGAGGGGAAUAUGCCAGUGGAAGUGAUUCCUACUAGAAACAGUUUAGUUUAAUUGGUGUUUUUUAAUUGGACUUCUUAUAAUUAAUGCCAUCAUCAGAAGAUUCUAACUUGUCAUA
rnacentral:lncRNA from 1 species